rnacentral:rRNA from 1 species
UACGUAGGGGGCGAGCGUUGUCCGGAUUUAUUGGGCGUAAAGAGCGUGUAGGCGGCCAGGUAGGUCUGCUGUGAAAACUCGAGGCUCAACCUCGAGACGUCGGCGGAAACCAUCUGGCUAGAGUCCGGAAGAGGAGAGUGGAAUUCCUGGUGUAGCGGUGAAAUGCGCAGAUAUCAGGAAGAACACCCGUGACGAAGGCGGCUCUCUGGGACGGUACUGACGCUGAGACGCGAAAGCGUGGGGAGCGAACAGG